rnacentral:rRNA from 1 species
ACGGUCUCAGUUCGGAUUGAAGGCUGAAAUUCGCCUUCAUGAAGCUGGAAUUGCUAGUAAUGGCAGGUCAGCAUACUGCCGUGAAUACGUUCCUAGGCCUUGUACACACCGCCCGUCACACCAUGAGAGUUGGAAAUACCCGAAGCCUGUGAGCUAACAGUAAUGAGGCAGCAGUCGAAGGUAGAGCCAAUGAUUGGGGUGAAGUCGUAACAAGGUACC